UACAGGGGGUGCUAGCGUUGUUCGGAAUUACUGGGCGUAAAGGGCGCGUAGGCGGUUUUGUAAGUCAGAAGUGAAAUCCCGGAGCUUAACUUCGGAAUUGCUCCUGAUACUACGAGGCUAGAGUGAGUUAGAGGAUGGCGGAAUUCUUAGUGUAGAGGUGAAAUUCGUAGAUAUUAAGAAGAACACCGGUGGCGAAGGCGGCCAUCUGGGACUCAACUGACGCUGAGGCGCGAAAGCGUGGGGAUCAAACAGG
rnacentral:rRNA from 1 species